UUGAACGCUGGCGGCAGGCCUAACACAUGCAAGUCGAGCGGUAACACAGAGAGCUUGCUCUCGGGUGACGAGCGGCGGACGGGUGAGUAAUGUCUGGGAAACUGCCUGAUGGAGGGGGAUAACUACUGGAAACGGUAGCUAAUACCGCAUAACGUCGCAAGACCAAAGUGGGGGACCUUCGGGCCUCAUGCCAUCAGAUGUGCCCAGAUGGGAUUAGCUAGUAGGUGGGGUAACGGCUCACCUAGGCGACGAUCCCUAGCUGGUCUGAGAGGAUGACCAGCCACACUGGAACUGAGACACGGUCCAGACUCCUACGGGAGGCAGCAGUGGGGAAUAUUGCACAAUGGGCGCAAGCCUGAUGCAGCCAUGCCGCGUGUGUGAAGAAGGCCUUCGGGUUGUAAAGCACUUUCAGCGGGGAGGAAGGCGGUGAGGUUAAUAACCUCACCGAUUGACGUUACCCGCAGAAGAAGCACCGGCUAACUCCGUGCCAGCAGCCGCGGUAAUACGGAGGGUGCAAGCGUUAAUCGGAAUUACUGGGCGUAAAGCGCACGCAGGCGGUCUGUCAAGUCGGAUGUGAAAUCCCCGGGCUCAACCUGGGAACUGCAUUCGAAACUGGCAGGCUAGAGUCUUGUAGAGGGGGGUAGAAUUCCAGGUGUAGCGGUGAAAUGCGUAGAGAUCUGGAGGAAUACCGGUGGCGAAGGCGGCCCCCUGGACAAAGACUGACGCUCAGGUGCGAAAGCGUGGGGAGCAAACAGGAUUAGAUACCCUGGUAGUCCACGCCGUAAACGAUGUCGAUUUGGAGGUUGUGCCCUUGAGGCGUGGCUUCCGGAGCUAACGCGUUAAAUCGACCGCCUGGGGAGUACGGCCGCAAGGUUAAAACUCAAAUGAAUUGACGGGGGCCCGCACAAGCGGUGGAGCAUGUGGUUUAAUUCGAUGCAACGCGAAGAACCUUACCUGGUCUUGACAUCCACAGAACUUUCCAGAGAUGGAUUGGUGCCUUCGGGAACUGUGAGACAGGUGCUGCAUGGCUGUCGUCAGCUCGUGUUGUGAAAUGUUGGGUUAAGUCCCGCAACGAGCGCAACCCUUAUCCUUUGUUGCCAGCGGUUAGGCCGGGAACUCAAAGGAGACUGCCAGUGAUAAACUGGAGGAAGGUGGGGAUGACGUCAAGUCAUCAUGGCCCUUACGACCAGGGCUACACACGUGCUACAAUGGCAUAUACAAAGAGAAGCGACCUCGCGAGAGCAAGCGGACCUCAUAAAGUAUGUCGUAGUCCGGAUUGGAGUCUGCAACUCGACUCCAUGAAGUCGGAAUCGCUAGUAAUCGUAGAUCAGAAUGCUACGGUGAAUACGUUCCCGGGCCUUGUACACACCGCCCGUCACACCAUGGGAGUGGGUUGCAAAAGAAGUAGGUAGCUUAACCUUCGGGAGGGCGCUUACCACUUUGUGAUUCAUGACUGGGGUG
rnacentral:rRNA from 1 species